UACGAACUGUGCGAGCGUUAAUCGGAAUUACUGGGCGUAAAGCGUGCGCAGGCGGUGAUGUAAGACCGAUGUGAAAUCCCCGGGCUUAACCUGGGAACUGCAUUGGUGACUGCAUUGCUGGAGUAUGGCAGAGGGGGGUGGAAUUCCACGUGUAGCAGUGAAAUGCGUAGAGAUGUGGAGGAACACCGAUGGCGAAGGCAGCCCCCUGGGCCAAUACUGACGCUCAUGCACGAAAGCGUGGGGAGCAAACAGG
rnacentral:rRNA from 1 species